UAUGUGAUCGUCUCUCGCAUAUCAAUAAGCGGAGGAAAAGAAACUAACAAGGAUUCCCCUAGUAACGGCGAGUGAAGCGGGAAGAGCUCAAAUUUGAAAUCUUAAAGGGUUUCCCUUUACGAAUUGUAGUUUAAAGAAGUGUUUUCUGUUGAGGUUUUGGUAAAAGUUCUUUGGAAUAGGACAUCAUAGAGGGUGAGAAUCCCGUAUUUGACCUUUACUUUCAACUUUGUGAUACACUUUCAAAGAGUCGGAUUGUUUGGGAAUGCAGUCCGAAAUGGGUGGUAAAUUUCAUCUAAAGCUAAAUAUUGGCGAGAGACCGAUAGCGAACAAGUACCGUGAGGGAAAGAUGAAAAGAACUUUGAAAAGAGAGUUAAACAGUACGUGAAAUUGUCAAAAGGGAAGCGUUUGACACCAGUGUUGUUUUUCUGAAAAUCAAUUAAAGAACUGUUUAUGCUAAGCUGUUUAGACUUUAUCAGCUAACUGUUUAGUUUUGAGCUUUUCUUUAAUGCACUUUUCAGUUAACAAGUCAACAUCAAUUUCUUUUGCUGUAAAAAAGCUUGAGGAAGGUGGCUUGAGAUUCGUCUUAAGUGUUUAUAGCCUCUUGCCUAUGCAGUCGGAGAGAUUGAGGUCUGCAGCGUAGAUCCUUCGGGGCUAAAUGCAUUUGUGCUAAGUUAUAGCAUUUUAUAGACAACUUGUUGACUAUGAUUUGUCUUGUAGCUUACUCGCUUAUGUUAUUUUACCUACGCUUAGGAUGUUGAGUAGCGACAUACGCAC
rnacentral:rRNA from 1 species